GCCUUCGUGAUGUAAUGGUCAGCACACUGAGCCGGUAUUUCAGAGGUCCGUGGUUCGAUCCCCGGCGAAGGCA
rfam:Stegodyphus mimosarum contig67650, whole genome shotgun sequence.